CAACAGUUGGAAACGACUGCUAAUACCGNAUGAAGCAUAGGGUCGCAUGAUUCUUAUGCCAAAGAUUUAUCGGCUUCAAGAUGGCCUCGCGUCUGAUUAGCUAGUUGGCGGGGUAAUGGCCCACCAAGGCGACGAUCAGUAGCCGGACUGAGAGGUUGAACGGCCACAUUGGGACUGAGAUACGGCCCAGACUCCUACGGGAGGCAGCAGUGGGGAAUAUUGGGCAAUGGGCGCAAGCCUGACCCAGCAACGCCGCGUGAAGGAAGAAGGCUUUCGGGUUGUAAACUUCUUUUAAAGGGAAGAGCAGAAGACGGUACCUCUAGAAUAAGCCACGGCUAACUACGUG
rnacentral:rRNA from 1 species